UGCCCCCUCUGGUUUCCAUGAAGAGCCUUUUAUAGACUGCAUACCUCCCCCUCUCUCCCCUGUUCCAAGUUGAGAUAAAGAUGGAUCAACGGCUGCGGGAUAGAGUCGAUAUCUUUUGAUCCUUGAAUUGCGAUGCUGGGAUUAAUCCGGAACACUGGCUGGUGAUAAGUGCUAAAUAAUGUAUAAACUAAUAUCUUAUUCAUAGCACUUAUCAUUAUUUUAAUUCAUAUAUUUUGUGAAUUUAACAUAAAAAAAAUGUUACCUUCAUUAUUGCAUUCUAAUAAAUUAUUAAAGAUAAUUCAUGUUUUACUUAUUUAUUUACUGAUUGAGUCUAAUGUAUGCAGGUUGAGUCAAGUUCAUUAGGAAUUAUUCCUUGACCCAAAUCGCAUGCACCCUGCGAUUCAAAUCCUCUCAGAUUUUCGAUUCAGCCGUUCAUCCCAACUUUAUUGUUUCUUUCACAUCUAACUGAGCUCGACUUUUCAUGUUCUAACAUUUUGUCCCAAAACUUCCCACAUUGCACUGUUUAAACCCGUAUCACAUUUAUUAGACUUUAUCCUGAUUGAAACCAGCCAUUCCAGUCAUU
rnacentral:lncRNA from 1 species